GUGAGGAAUAUUGGUCAAUGGGCGAGAGCCUGAACCAGCCAAGUCGCGUGAAGGAAGAAGGAUCUAUGGUUCGUAAACUUCUUUUGCAGGGGAAUAAAGUGCAGGACGUGUCCUGUUUUGUAUGUACCCUGAGAAUAAGGAUCGGCUAACUCCGUGCCAGCAGCCGCGGUAAUACGGAGGAUCCGAGCGUUAUCCGGAUGUAUUGGGUUUAAAGGGUGCGUAGGUGGUUUGAUAAGUCAGCGGUGAAAGUUUGCAGCUUAACUGUAAAAAUGCCGUUGAAACUGUCGGACUUGAGUGUAAAUGAGGUAGGCGGAAUGCGUGGUGUAGCGGUGAAAUGCAUAGAUAUCACGCAGAACUCCGAUUGCGAAGGCAGCUUACUAAGCUACAACUGACACUGAAGCACGAAAGCGUGGGGAUCAAACAGGAUUAGAUACCCGUGUAGUCC
rnacentral:rRNA from 1 species